AUUGAACGCUGGCGGCAGGCCUAACACAUGCAAGUCGAACGAGUGGCGGACGGGUGAGUAAUGUAUGGGAAACUGCCCGAUGGAGGGGGAUAACUGCUGGAAAAGGUAGCUAAUACCGCAUACCAUCGGAUGUGCCCAGAUGGGCUUAGCUAGUAGGGGGGGUAAGGGCUCACGAAGGCGACGAUCCCUAGCUGGUCUGAGAGGGUGACCAGCCACACUGGAACUGAGACACGGUCCAGACUCCUACGGGAGGCAGCAGUGGGGAAUAUUGCACAAUGGGCGCAAGCCUGAUGCAGCAAUGCCGCGUGAAUGAAGAAGGCCUUCGGGUUGUAAAGUACUUUCAGCGGGGAGGCGUUACCCGCAGAAGAAGCACCGGCUAACUCCGUGCCAGCAGCCGCGGUAAUAC
rnacentral:rRNA from 1 species